CUGCUCCAGAUUGAACCAGCUGACGGACGAGUUGAUCUUGUGCAGAACUGGAUCAAGUGAUUGCAGCGACUCUGCUGGAGUGCGUCUCAAGCGACAUGUGGUGGCAAGAGGACUCAUGGAUACGUCUGAAGAUGGAUGUCAACCUGUUGAAAUGCACUCGCGUAAAAAGAUUGGUGUCAAAACAGCCUGAUUGAAACAAUGGUGUAGCUUUCCCUCCACUGUGACACAACAGCCAAAUCCAUCAAAAUCGUGUGCCUCUGAGCUUCAGUUCUAUCACUGCAGCAGGUUUUUCUGAAUGCUUAACAAUGACAUCCAACUUGUGCAUCUAUGCUGCUGGAAACUUGCUAUAAGGAGUCAUGGUGGAGAGGAAGAAACUGUUAAAGUAUGACUUAAUUUCUGUUGCUACAUAUGUUCACUCCUAAUAAAACAGUUGUUGAAGCUGAAAA